AUGACUCUCUAUAAUACCCUUUGGAGAGAAAAGUGUAUUGGCCUGAUAUAUCGGUUUCAGGAUUGCUCUAAUAUGCUAACGUGUCUUACACAACAAGAGUUGGCCAGACUGUCAAAUUGCGGAAACGACUUGUUAAGUCAUCAAUACUAACCAACUGGGAAACCAAGUUGAGGGCCUCGCAAAGGAUAUAAGUAAAAAGUUGAUGAAUAGAGUUAAUCACGCAGCCAAGUUCUAACCCACUACGUGUUUGUAGAUGGUAUGAAUGCAGUUCACAGACUAAAUGUCAGUCGGCGCAAGCUUAAGAUAUAGUCGGUCCGCCUCGAGAGGGGUUA
rnacentral:ncRNA from 1 species